rnacentral:tRNA from 1 species
AGAAACUUAGGUUAAAUUACCAAUAAACCAGGGACCUUCAAAGCCCCAAACAUAGGCACCCAGCCCUAUAGUUUCUG